GUUUCCGCAGGGCUCUGGAGCUGGUGCAGGUUUAAGUCCGUCUCAGACAGUCCCCUCAACCCACAGCCUAAGCCCCUUGCCCUUGGGCCUCCGUGACACAGAACUUGCUUCCUUUUCCUAGGUCGUCCUUCACCUCCCUUCAGGUGUUGCUUCUUUUGUGAAACCUUUUUAGAACCGCUCUAGUGAACCUCUCUUUAACUGGCGAGGAAACCUCUGGGGCCUGAUAAUCAGGCUGUAAUGUGGGACGACAGGAUUAGAAGGACUAGGCACCUUGGUGGUCUUGUUCCCUCUUCCAUGAGUCUUGGGUCUCUCAGCUGAAGAGAGCAAAAGUGAAUUUUGGCCGCCUAAGAUUAAUCAACUGAUCUGGGUGUUGAGCAGACGCGCAUUGUUUAGUCCUAGAGCCCCAUUGCCUCCUCCCCCAAAGUUGCACAACCACUGGGCUGAGGGAAAUCUUGUGACCUUGGAGAGAGAAAGGGAGAGACCACAUUAAAAAAAAAAAAGGUUCUAAUGAG
rnacentral:lncRNA from 1 species